rnacentral:misc_RNA from 1 species
CUAUCGGCAGCCAUUUUUUCACGCUUUCUUGCGAAAAAAUUGUGAAAAUUCAAGUAAAAAGUUGUUAAACUGGCAAGAAAAUAAUUUAUAAAGAUCACAUAUACUGAAAUAGUAUGCGAAUUUGAAUAUUGUGCGUGCGUGUAGUGUGUGAGCAUUGAAAUAAUCAUGGAGACGGUCGUCGCUUUCAAUAAUGAGCUCUCCGGGCUCUAUGAUAGCCGACCGCCCAUAUCGAAGGCUAAAAUGGCCGCCAUCACAAAGUCGGCAAUGCGUGCAAUUAAAUUCUACAAGCAUGUUGUGCAGAGUGUUGAAAAGUUUAUACUCAAAUGCAAGCCGGAGUACAAAGUGCCGGGCCUGUAUGUCAUAGACUCAAUAGUGCGACAAUCGCGUCAUCAAUAUGGCACCGAGAAGGAUGUCUUUGCGCCCCGCUUCCAGCGUAAUCUAACCGAAACGUUUGCAAAUCUGUUUCGUUGCGCGCCCGAGGACAAGAGUCGCAUCAUUCGCGUGCUGAACCUUUGGCAGAAGAAUAAUGUGUUCAAAUCGGAAGUAAUACAGCCAAUAUUUGAUUUGGCUGAUCCAAACCAUCCGAUUUACCAUCAAAUGCCACCAAUCAGCGCCGGCAAUCUCAACGCGAGCUCUGGACCAAGUGGCAGCAGCGGUGUUCUAAAUCUUUCGGAUAUUUCCAGUGGCAAUGCUGCCAAUGGUUUGAAUGCCUCGGGAAUGAGCAAUAUGGAUAUGAGUGGUGCUGUCGACGAUAAAAUGGGUGGUGCAAUGCCGGAUCUGUCGAUAAGCCACGAGAAGUGCUCAAGCUCUAGUCGACGUCACAUGGAACAGCAUUAUAUGAAGCGUCAACAACAGCAGCAGCAGCAUCAACAUAAUAUGCCAUCCAGCAAUUCGGCAUCUGGUUCCAAGAGUCGUUUCGAUAGUGGGGGACUAAGCAAGUCGCAUCAUCACAACAAAUAUGGCAAGGGUAGCAGCUCCCAUGAGCUGGACUAUGACCUGCGUGAGAUAAUCGAUGACGAGGAUGGGGACAUGCUGAUGGGCGACGAUCAUCAUUGUAUGGGCGAUGAUACGCCGCCCGGCUCUUCCAAUUUGCUAGAUAACAAUAAUUUAAAGCAACUGCUCAACGAUCCCAAUGUCUUACGCCAACUGCAAACGCUGCAAAACUUUCAAAAGUUCAAGCAACAAGAGGAGAAUCAAAAGCAUCGCUACCAGGAGCAGGAUGCCCUGCAGCAGCAUUUGCAGAAUGUUCUCAAGGGCACAGGUGGCUUGCCGCCGGGCGUCGGCAUGGGCAUGGGCCACAAUGAUGUGACGGACAUGAACAAGGAUGUUGAAUUCAUAUCGGAACAGCAACCCAUUGAGGUUAUCAAUCUGGAUGGUGCCGAUUCCCGUAGUCCGACGCCCGAUCGUGACCGUUACAAGCGCAGCCGACGCAGCAGCCGCAGUAGAUCGCCCCGUAGUCGUGGCGGCGGCGGUGGUGGGGGUGGUGGUGGCAAUGGAAACGAUCGUGAUCGGGGAAGUCGCCGUCGCAGCUCACGUUCGCGCAGCCGUUCGCCACGUUCCAGCCGCAGGCGCGGAUCGCGCGAUCGUGACCGCAUGGAGCGCAGCACGCGCGACAAGGAGCGGGAUCGCGAACAUGAACGUGAGCGACGCAAGAAGGGCCUGCCCGAGAUUAAGAAGGAGCAUCUAAGUGUGUGCAGUACCACGCUGUGGGUGGGCCAUCUCUCCAAGCUGGUGUACCAGGAGGAGCUCUCGGAUACUUUUGGCGAAUAUGGCGAUAUCGUGAGCAUCGAUCAGAUUGUGCCCAGAGGUUGUGCUUUCAUUGUGAUGAAUCGUCGCCAAGACGCACACAAGGCUAUGCAGGCGCUUAAGAAUCACAAGCUUCAAGGUCGUGCCAUUACCAUAUCUUGGGCAGCUGGGAAGGGUGUGAAGAGCAAGGAAUGGAAGGAUUUCUGGGAUCUUGAUCUCGGCGUCACAUAUGUGCCGUGGAACAAGCUGAGCCCCGACACGGACUUCGACAGUCUCGAGGAGGGCGGCAUGUUCGACGAGGACACCAUGCCCAGCUGGAUGAAGCAAAAAAUCAAUCAGGCGAAAAAUGUCAAGGAUGUCAAGCCGACAGCCCUAACCGGCGAAAUGCCCAAUGUGCCGUCUGUGGCGCCGCCAAACUUGCUCUUUGGCAUUGACACCACACAGCCACCGCCAGUGGCUCCGCCACAGCAUGGCGGACCUGGUGCACCUCCGCCCGCACUGAUGGGUAUGGUGCCUGGCCAGUUCCAGAUGGCGCCUCCAUUGGGCGCACCACCGCCGCAGCGCAUGCUGGGUCCCAUGGGACCGCUGAACCAUCCGUUGGGCAUGGCUAUGCCUCCGAAUAUGGUGCCCGGCAUGCCGCCGCCAAUGAUGAUGCCGCCUAAUAUGAUGCCACCCGGUUUUCCGACCAUGGGCGGCCCACCUCCACAUCCUAUGGGACUGCCGCCGGGCGCACAGUUCCCCCCGCCGGGAGCAGUGCCGCCGCCCAUGACCACAAUUCCAGCACCCGCGGGCUCUGGCACUGGCAAUGUGAGCGACGACCAAAUGGAUAUCGAAAUGGAGCUUGAGGAUGCACCAUCGCAAUCGGCACCUACGUCCUCACAACAGCAAGCACCUAACUUCAGCCAGCCGCCGCCGAUCUUUGCAGGUGGCGCCACGCAACCGAACAGUGUGGAUGUGGCUGCAGCGGUUGCUGGCAAUGAUCUGUUCCAAAGGGAUCGCGCACGUGGUCCUAGCGGCGCAGGUUCUCGCUGGGGCGGCCGCGACGACAUUGCUGAGGCUUCGGAGCGCUGGAGGAAUGAGAACGGAGGCGGUGGACCGCCGCCGCUAAGCGGAGCCUUCAACGAGGCACGAGCGCGUCUCAAUCUCAAUAGCAUGGAACAUGGUGGAAUGCAACGUCCAGAAUUCUUGGGUGGCUUGGAAUUUGAUAAUCGUCCAGGCGGUGGACCGCGUGGUAUGGGUCCAGGCCCCAGGGGUGGCAAUCAUAAUGGCGGCAAUGGCGGAGGUGACUUCUUCCAGCCCAAUAUGAAUCCCAAUCAGAAUCGUUUCAAUCAGCCAACGAGUCUGAUGCAGAUGCGCAUACCGCCGCCGGUGGCGUUUAAUCAGCGCAUGGGAGGACCGGGUGCAGGCAAUGGAGUGGGCCCCAUGUUUAUGCGUAAUCAAGGUGGCGGUGGACCAGGCGGCAGGCAGCAAGGACCAGGUUUCUUCAAUCCGCGCAAUCCGUUUAACGAUAACCAACGUGGUCGUGGUGGUGGCGGAGGUGGUGGCGGCAGCGGUGGUAGUGGUGGUGGUCGUGGCAUGGGCGGUGGCGGAGGUCGCGGUGGCCGAUGGAGUGAUGAGGAGGAAGACGGCGGCAGCAAUAGCAACAACUUCAAACGGCGUGGAGGCGGUGGCCCAGGUGGCCCGGGCAAUCGAUUCCGUGGCGAACGCGAUGGCGAUGAUAGACGCGGCGGCAAUGGACGUAGUGGACGUGGUAGCCAGCGCAGCGAAGAGCGUGAACGUGGACCCAAUAAUAAUAACAGACGUGGCUCACGCGACGACAGUAAUCGCCACUCGAUAAGCUCCACGGAUGAGAACGCAUUGCAGGGCAAACAGUCUUCGUCGGAGCCGGAUGAUAUGAAGAAUAAGCCGGUGGCAGCGCCAUCCGUGAACAAUGUAGAAAAAUCAGCUGCUGUAGAUACCGAGGAGGACUGGGAUAGAGAGCUGCAGGAGUAUGAUGCUAGAAUGGAAGCGCAACAAGCAGCUGAAGCUGCAGAAGCCACCGCUGCCGCCUCUGGCGCUGGUACUUCUACUGCCACAGAUACCUCUGAUAUUAAUAAACAGAAAUCGGAGACGCUGGCCGAAGCGGCACCUGCGUCAGUAGUAGAGACGUUUGCCACCCCGCAUGCGGAAGAAAUCAGCGAGGUGUCCAAGCCCAAGGCACCAUCGCCUGUCUGCACGCCUCUCUAUGACGAGUUGCCGCCACCAGCAUCAGCAGCUGGAGCAACGGCACCGCCACAGCCAGUUGAGCAGGCCGAAGAGCCAAAUCCAAAGAUCGAACAGAAGCGUGUGACUGAGGAAUUUACGCAUGAGCCCGAGCCUGAGUCUGCGCCUGCAACAGUGCAACAGCCACAACAACGCGUUGAUUCCCCACCCAGAGCAGAGCAGUCACCGCCAGCCUCAGCAGCCCCAGCAACAACAACAACAACAACAACAACAACAGAUGCAACGAAAGAUAUAGCGGAGGAAACUGAGCCAGUUGCCAGUGCCCAGCCAGCAGUUGAGGCAGACUCAUAGAAUGCCGAGGAUAACGAGGAAUAACAGAAAAGGACAACAAAGAUAGAAGGAACGGAAGAAAUGUGUAUUUUAUGAUUUCCUUACAUAUGAUUCAUCUUUUGAGAUUACGCAUUUGUUGAGACGCGACAAAGGUCUGCACUAUUCUUGCUAGGCUAAGGCACUUUAUUUGUAUAAUUUUUAAACGAUUCACAUAUUAUUUAAGGCUUUGGUGCCGCAAUAACAUAAAAACCAACAAAUUGUAGGGUCCUCUGACAUCGGACGCUAAUAAUUCCCCUCCUUCAAAUAAGAAUAUUGUAUGUAAAACAACAAGAAAUGAUAACCCAAACUCCAGAAAACAUCAACAGUUAAAAGGCGCAAAAAAGGAACAAAUUGUAGCAAAUAAUUAGAGAAUAAUAUGAUAUAAUAUGGACGAAAUUAAUAGACAGAGGAGAAAACAGCCACGCUUGAGAAAUGUUUAUAAUUUUGUUAUGUAUAUAAUUUUAAGAUGGUAUUUAACACAAACUGUUUCUUAUGCGCAGGUUAUAAGUACACGU